UACGUAGGGUGCGAGCGUUAAUCGGAAUUACUGGGCGUAAAGCGUGCGCAGGCGGUUCGUUGUGUCGGUGGUGAAAGCCCCGGGCUUAACCUGGGAAUGGCCAUGGAAACUGGCGAACUGGAGUGUGGCAGAGGGGGGUGGAAUUCCCCGUGUAGCAGUGAAAUGCGUAGAGAUGCGGAGGAACACCGAUGGCGAAGGCAGCCCCCUGGGCUAACACUGACGCUCAGGCACGAAAGCGUGGGGAGCAAACAGG
rnacentral:rRNA from 1 species